GAUGAACGCUGGCGGCGUGCCUAAUACAUGCAAGUCGAGCGAACAGACGAGGAGCUUGCUCCUCUGACGUUAGCGGCGGACGGGUGAGUAACACGUGGAUAACCUACCUAUAAGACUGGGAUAACUUCGGGAAACCGGAGCUAAUACCGGAUAACAUGUUGAACCGCAUGGUUCAACAGUGAAAGACGGUCUUGCUGUCACUUAUAGAUGGAUCCGCGCCGCAUUAGCUAGUUGGUAAGGUAACGGCUUACCAAGGCAACGAUGCGUAGCCGACCUGAGAGGGUGAUCGGCCACACUGGAACUGAGACACGGUCCAGACUCCUACGGGAGGCAGCAGUAGGGAAUCUUCCGAAAUGGGCGAAAGCCUGAUGGAGCAACGCCGCGUGAGUGAAGAAGGUCUUCGGAUCGUAAAACUCUGUUAUUAGGGAAGAACAAAUGUGUAAGUAACUAUGCACGUCUUGACGGUACCUAAUCAGAAAGCCACGGCUAACUACGUG
rnacentral:rRNA from 1 species